rnacentral:rRNA from 1 species
AACGAACGCUGGCGGCAGGCUUAACACAUGCAAGUCGAGCGCCCCGCAAGGGGAGCGGCAGACGGGUGAGUAACGCGUGGGAAUCUACCCAUCUCUACGGAAUAACGCAUGGAAACGUGUGCUAAUACCGUAUACGUCCUUCGGGAGAAAGAUUUAUCGGAGAUGGAUGGGCCCGCGUUGGAUUAGCUAGUUGGUGGGGUAAAGGCCUACCAAGGCGACGAUCCAUAGCUGGUCUGAGAGGAGGAUCAGCCACACUGGGACUGAGACACGGCCCAGACUCCUACGGGAGGCAGCAGUGGGGAAUAUUGGACAAUGGGCGCAAGCCUGAUCCAGCCAUGCCGCGUGAGUGAUGAAGGCCCUAGGGUUGUAAAGCUCUUUCACCGGUGAAGAUAAUGACGGUAACCGGAGAAGAAGCCCCGGCUAACUUCGUGCCAGCAGCCGCGGUAAUAC